rnacentral:rRNA from 1 species
AUGCCUCAGAUUGGUAUGAAAUUCAAUUCCACAAAAGAGGCUUGGAACUUUUGGACAUGUUAUGGAGGUCAUAUUGGUUUUGAUGUAAGGAUAAAUUAUGAAAACAAGAGCAAACUCGAUGGAGUAAUCACCUCAGCAAGAUAUGUUUGUUCCAAUGAGGGCUACAGAAGAAAAGACAAAAGGGAUAAUAAUACAAAGCGUCCUCGUGCAGAAACAAGGACCGGCUGCAAUGUUCGAAUGGGAAUUACUAUAGACCGAGAAGCACGAAAUUAUGAGGUGCAUGAGUUAGUUGUUGAACACAACCAUGUCUUGCAAUUACCUGGGACAAGCCACUUGAUGCCAUCACAGAGGAAGAUUUCAGCCUUGCAAGCAUUUGAAAUUGAAACAGCAGAUGAUUCAGGAAUUGUACCGAGAAAAGCCCAUGAGUUUGCAAGUCGACAAGUUGGUGGUCCACUGAACCUUGGCUACACAUGUCGUGAUCGCAAGAACCACUUGCAAACCAGGCGACAAAGGGACUUGAUGUAUGGUGAAGCUGGAAGUAUGCUCAAGUAUUUUAGAGAUAAAAAGAAUGAGAAUCCUGCAUUUGAAUAUGACAUGCAACUAGAUUGCGAUGAAAAUAUAGCAAAUAUCUUUUGGGCUGAUGCAAGGAUGAUAAUUGACUAUGCUCAUUUCGGUGAUGUUGUUACCUUCGAUACAACAUUUGGGACAAACAAAGAGUACAGACCCUUCGGUGUGUUUGUUGGUUUCAACCAUUUUAGAGAAAUGGUCAUUUUUGGUGCUGCACUUUUAUAUGAUGAGACAUUUGAAUCAUUCAAAUGGUUGUUCAACACGUUCCUAUCAGUGCAUAACAAAAAGCAACCAAGAACAAUCUUUACUGAUCAAGAUGUAGCAAUGGGUAAUGCAAUUCAGGCAGUAUUUACCGAAGCAUGGCAUGGAUUGUGCACUUUUCACAUAAUGCAAAAUGCCAUCAGGCACUUACCUCAUAAGAAAAAAGACGAGGAUGGACCAAAUGUACUUGCUGAUUUCAGUGCUUGCAUGUACAAGUAUGAGGAAGAGGAAGCCUUUGAAGACGCUUUCAAUGCCAUAAGAAGCAAUGUGGAAACACAAACUUGGUUGGACAGCAUCUACAAAGUAAAAGAGAAAAGGGCAAGAUGUUACAUGAGGAAUGCUUACACUAUAGGCAUGAGAAGCACACAAUUAAGUGAGAGCUUGAACAGUGACUUGAAAGACCAUCUAAAGUCUGGUCUUGACAUCCUUCGGUUUUUCAAGCACGUAGAGAGGGUUGUGCAAGGAAAAAGAGAUAACGAGCGAUGGACUCGAGAAGCACGAAGUGGAACUAUUCAAAACAGUCAUGGAAACAUUGUUUUGGAAGACCCUAGAUCGGAAGAUAGGCAACAGUUGAAGUUUUUCAUGCACGAUUUCCAUGGCAUAGCUUCCCAAGCAGUUGCCUCCUACUACUACAUGCACAACUGA